UAAGGUGGUUAUUGCGGCGGGGCUCACCUCUUCCCAUCCCGAACAGAGAAGUUAAGCCCGCCUGCGCAGAUGGUACUGCAGUCAUGUGGGAGAGUAUGUCGUCGCCUUUC
rnacentral:rRNA from 2 species